rnacentral:rRNA from 1 species
GUGGGGAAUAUUGGACAAUGGGCGAAAGCCUGAUCCAGCCAUGCCGCGUGUGUGAAGAAGGUCUUCGGAUUGUAAAGCACUUUAAGUUGGGAGGAAGGGUUGUAGAUUAAUACUCUGCAAUUUUGACGUUACCGACAGAAUAAGCACCGGCUAACUCUGUGCCAGCAGCCGCGGUAAUACAGAGGGUGCAAGCGUUAAUCGGAAUUACUGGGCGUAAAGCGCGCGUAGGUGGUUAGUUAAGUUGGAUGUGAAAUCCCCGGGCUCAACCUGGGAACUGCAUUCAAAACUGACUGACUAGAGUAUGGUAGAGGGUGGUGGAAUUUCCUGUGUAGCGGUGAAAUGCGUAGAUAUAGGAAGGAACACCAGUGGCGAAGGCGACCACCUGGACUGAUACUGACACUGAGGUGCGAAAGCGUGGGGAGCAAACAGGAUUAGAAACCCGGGUAGUCC